rnacentral:rRNA from 1 species
AGUGAACGCUGGCGGUAGGCCUAACACAUGCAAGUCGAACGGCAGCACAGGAGAGCUUGCUCUCUGGGUGGCGAGUGGCGCACGUGUGAGGAAUACAUCUGAAUCUGCCCAGUCGUGGGGGUAAACUGGGGAAACCUUACCCUAAACCGGCUAACGCCUUUCGGCCCAAGGUGGGGUAUCGCAAGCCCUCUUCGCUUUGACUGACCCAUUGUCGGAUUAGCUAGUUGCCGGGUUAAGGGCCAACCAAGGCGACGAUCCGUAGCUGGUCUGAGAGGAUGAUCAGCCACACUGGAACUGAGACACGGUCCAGACUCCUACGGGAGGCAGCAGUGGGGAAUAUUGGACAAUGGGCGAAAGCCUGAUCCAGCCAUACCGCGUGGGUGAAGAAGGCCUUCGGGUUGUAAAGCCCUUUUGUUGGGAAAGAAAACUUUCAGGCUAAUACCCUGAGAGGAUGACGGUACCCAAAGAAUAAGCACCGGCUAACUACGUG